GUCUUCGUGGCUCAGUCGGUAGAGCGUUGGUCUCAUAUUACAUCGAUAUGACUCUAUUCACAGAUAGAGACAUCCAAAGGUCGAGAGUUCGAGCCUCUCUGAGGACA
rnacentral:tRNA from 1 species